UACGUAGGGGGCAAGCGUUGUCCGGAUUUAUUGGGCGUAAAGAGCGUGUAGGCGCCAGACAGGUCCGUUGUGAAAACUUGAGGCUCAACCUCGAGACGCCGAUGGAAACCGUCUGGCUAGAGUCCGGAAGAGGAGAGUGGAAUUCCUGGUGUAGCGGUGAAAUGCGCAGAUAUCAGGAAGAACACCCGUGGCUAAGGCGGCUCUCUAGUACGGUACUGACGCUGAGACGCGAAAGCGUGGGGAGCGAACAGG
rnacentral:rRNA from 1 species